rnacentral:rRNA from 1 species
UGCCUACGGGAGGCUGCAGUGGGGAAUAUUGCACAAUGGGCGAAAGCCUGAUGCAGCGACGCCGCGUGGAGGAUGAAGGUUUUCGGAUUGUAAACUCCUGUUAAGUGGGAAGAAAGACUCAUACCUAAUACGUAUGGGGGAUGACGGUACCACUAGAGAAAGCACCGGCAAACUUCGUGCCAGCAGCCGCGGUAAUACGAAGGGUGCUAGCGUUAUUCGGAAUGACUGGGCGUAAAGAGCGUACAGGCGGUUUGUUAAGUCAACUGUUAAAUCACUCAGCUUAACUGGGUAUCUGCAGAUGAAACUGGCGAACUAGAGUGCAGGAGAGAAAGGUAGAAUUCUCGGAGUAGCGGUAAAAUGCGUAGAUCUCGAGAGGAAUACCGGUUGCGAAGGCGGCCUUUUGGCCUGUUACUGACGCUAAAGCGCGAAAGCGUGGGGAGCAAACAGGAUUAGAUACCCUGGUAGUC